UAGGAGGGUGGCUGUCGCUGGCUAGGCAGAUUCUAGCAUGUGCA
rnacentral:rRNA from 1 species